rnacentral:rRNA from 1 species
CCUAGGGAGGCAGCAGUGAGGAAUAUUGGUCAACGGCCGGGAGGCUGAACCAGCCAAGUCGCGUGAGGGAAGACGGCCCUACGGGUUGUAAACCUCUUUUGUCAGGGAGCAAGGUGCAGGUCGGGACCUGCUGUGAGAGUACCUGAAGAAAAAGCAUCGGCUAACUCCGUGCCAGCAGCCGCGGUAAUACGGAGGAUGCGAGCGUUAUCCGGAUUUAUUGGGUUUAAAGGGUGCGUAGGCGGUUCGAUAAGUUAGAGGUGAAAUCCCGGGGCUCAACUCCGGCACUGCCUCUGAUACUGUCGGGCUAGAGUUUAGUUGCGGUAGGCGGAAUGUAUGGUGUAGCGGUGAAAUGCAUAGAGAUCAUACAGAACACCGAUUGCGAAGGCAGCUUACCAAACUACGACUGACGUUGAGGCACGAAAGCGUGGGGAGCAAACAGGAUUAGAUACCCGUGUAGUC